rnacentral:misc_RNA from 1 species
CAACCCUCGAACCCCUCCGGGGGGUCGGCGUUGGGGAUCGGCCUCCCUCACCGGGGGCCGUCUCCGAAAUACAGUGGCGGUCUCGCCGCAGCCUCUCCUGCGCAGUAGUUUGCACACUCGCAUCGGGAGCGCGGCGCGUCCACAGCCGUUAAACACCCCAAACUUCUGAAA